UGCCAGCCGCCGCGGUAAUACGAAGGGACCUAGCGUAGUUCGGAAUUACUGGGCUUAAAGAGCUCGUAGGUGGUUAGAGAAGUUGGUGGUGAAAUCCCAAGGCUUAACCUUGGAACUGCCACCAAAACUUUUUGACUAGAGUAUGAUAGAGGUAAGUGGAAUUUCUAGUGUAGAGGUGAAAUUCGUAGAUAUUAGAAAGAACACCAAUUGCGAAGGCAACUUUCUGGAUCAUUACUGACACUCAGAGGCGAAAGCUAGGGUAGCAAAAGGGAUUAGAUA
rnacentral:rRNA from 1 species